rnacentral:rRNA from 1 species
UACGAAGGGUGCAAACGUUGCUCGGAAUUAUUGGGCGUAAAGCGCACGUAGGCGGCUUAGCAAGUCGGAAGUGAAAGCCCUCGGCUCAACCAAGGAAGUGCUUUCGAAACUGCUGAGCUUGAGUACUUAAGAGGAUCGCGGAAUUCCCGGUGUAGAGGUGAAAUUCGUAGAUAUCGGGAGGAACACCAGUGGCGAAGGCGGCGAUCUGGGAAGAUACUGACGCUGAGGUGCGAAAGCGUGGGGAGCAAACGGG